CAUAUUUGACCCAACAAUGGAUUGAAACAACCCAACAUUUUUUUAGAGUUGACAGGCAGUUUUUGUACACUAUAUUGGGUUAAAACUGUCAGUGUGACAAUGCUUUUGACUACUGGGGAAAAGGAACCAUGGUCACUGUAUCGUCAGCUGAGCCAUCAGGACCACAGUAUCUCUUUGGCCUUUCUGAAUGUGGUUCCGUUUAUGGUGAAUUCCUGACUCUCGGCUGCAUUGCAAAAGGUUUCUCGCCCGCGGACUCGCUCAAAUUCACAUGGAAAGAUCACAAAGGAGAACCGGUGAAUAAUUUCGUGCAGUAUCCAACAAUCGGAUGGGAGGGAGAUUACACCCAAAUCAGCCAUCUGCGUGUGAAGAAAAGCGACUUUACUCCUGAUAAACCUUACAAAUGUGAAGCUGGGAAAAAGGAAGUACCUGUUGCUCCAGCACCCCCAGCGCCAGAUCAGCGUGCAUCUUUGUACUUAACAACUCCUACAAAUGAGGAAUUAGACAGUGGAACAGCUACUUUCAUCUGCUUAGCCAAGCACUUUUCCCCAGAACAACACUCGUUUAAGUGGUUUCAUGAUGAUAUGGAGGUGAAAAGUGAAGAAAAAAGUGAUGAAUGUGUAGUUAAGAAGAAAACAAACGUGACUCUAUUUACCGCCACAAGCAUUUUGCAAUUAAAAGCUUACAACUGGACCAAUCCUGGAAACAAAAUUAAGUGCGUGUUCGAGCACAAAGCUGGAAAUAAAAUGAAAGAACAGAGCUACACAGUUUCUUUUACAAAUUCAGAUAUUUCUGCUCAUUUCGUCCCUCCAUCCUGGGAGGACAUGUUGAAAAACAAAGGUGGAUCUCUGACAUGCAAAGCUUCAGGAGACAUUGGCUUCAAACAAAUGGAAAUUAAAAUGAAAGAAUCCGGAAGUCCAAUCAUUACAUCUUCUUAUGAAAGCAUCGCAAAUAAGAAAAAUGUUGAAAUUGCGACCACUAUAGGUUUUGAAGAAUGGAGCAAUGGAACACAUUUUUUGUGUAUCAUUGAACACGAAGCUUCAGGAGUGCCCAUAGAGAUUGAGUAUGUCCGAGAAAACAAUGGACAUCCGUACAAGAGACCCUCUGUUUAUAUAUUAGCACCCCCAGAGCAGAGAGAGGGUGAAAGUUUGACCCUGACAUGUUAUGUGAAGGACUUCUACCCCAUGGAGGUGUUUGUAUCUUGGCUUGCUGAUGAUGAACCUUUAUUGGGGUACACGCAGAACACUAGCAUGCCAAUACUGAACGAUAAAACCUAUAGUGUCUAUAGUCAGCUCACACUUGACUCUUCCAAGUGGAAAAAUGGUACAGUGUUUAGCUGUGUAGUGUACCAUGAAACCAUUGAUGAGACUUUGAAAGUAUUGACAAGAUCUAUUACCAAUAAUUCGGAUAAACCCAGUAUAUUUAAUCUAAGUAUGAAUACUCCUGCAUGCUGCAAGGGUUAGACCAUAUUAUAUAUGUGGUGUCUGCCUGCAUGUUAUGCCUGUUACGUGUUUACCCUUUUUUUUUUCUUUUUUUAAUGAUUUUUAAAUGUCAUGUCCAUAUUUGUAAGUGUCUGUGUCAUUAAUGUUUGUAGCCUGUUGCUUAUAUUGUCAUCACAUUGGGAGAAAAAAGUUAAUAAAAAACCUAAGCAUA